rnacentral:rRNA from 1 species
UACGGGGGGAGCAAGCGUUGUUCGGAUUUACUGGGCGUAAAGGGCGCGUAGGCGGCCAGCACAAGUCAGUUGUGAAAUCUCCGGGCUUAACUCGGAAAGGUCAACUGAUACUGUGCGGCUAGAGUGCGGAAGGGGCAACUGGAAUUCUCGGUGUAGCGGUGAAUGACGUAGAUAUCGAGAGGAACACCUGCGGCGAAGGCGGGUUGCUGGGCCGACACUGACGCUGAUGCGCGAAAGCCAGGGGAGCGAGCGGG